GAGAGUGGGUAGUCCGCACGAGCGCACCUCACUUUUAGUUGCUACCAUUUAGUUGGGCACUCUGAAAGAACUGCCAGUGAUAAGCUGGAGGAAGGUGGGGAUGACGUCAAGUCCUCAUGGCCCUUACGUGUUGGGCUACACACGUGCUACAAUGGCAUCUACAACAGGAAGCAAGAAUGCGAAUUUAAGCAAAUCCUUAAAAGAUGCCUCAGUUCGGAUUGUACUCUGCAACUCGAGUACAUGAAGCUGGAAUUACUAGUAAUCGCGGAUCAGCGUGCCGCGGUGAAUACGUUCCCGGGUCUUGUACACACCGCCCGUCACACCAUGGGAGUUGGUUCUACCUUAAGGCAAAAUGUUAACCUUCGGGAAGCAUUUGACCACGGUAUAGUCAGCGACUGGGGUGAAGUCGUAACAAGGUAGCCGUAGGGGAACCUGCGGCUGGAUUACCUCCUUUCU
rnacentral:rRNA from 1 species